GCCGCCGCGGGCCCCUCCGCUCCUCGCGGCGGCCGCGGGGGCUCUGAGCCCGGGCGCUCGGCCUGAGGCAGGGGCGGCUCGGAGGGGCGGCGGAGGCCUCCGCCCGCACGCGUCCCCGAACGCGGCGCGGACGAGCGGCCGGCAACCGGCUCCGGCCAGAGCGAGGAGGUGCCGGCCCGCCAGCCGAGUCACGCGCGGAGCGACGGAAGAAAGAAGGGAACGGCCGGGGUCCCCCACUCGGGCGGGACUUCGGGCAAGGCCGCCAACAGCCGCGCUGCCCGACAGCGCCACCCGUGCCGGCGGAGGUGGCGUGCGUUGGGGCUGUCCCAGACGGGAGUCACCCGCCACCCAGCGCGCCUUCGCUCUCCAGACGUGACGUGACGUGACGUGACGUGACGUGACGGGCGCGGCCGAGGCUCGAGGCGCCGUCCGUCUCCGUCCAACUGGAAACGGCACCCGCGGUCCGCAGCCACGGCCCUGGACCGCGCGGGUCAGGCUCCCCUGUCCCUUCGGCCUCCCGGGAGCCCCUCUUCGGUCGCGACGCUUGUUUCGGUUGCAAAACCCAAGAGACCGUGAUAGGAUCUGCGGCUCACUUGCACGGGCACGGCGCCGCCGCGGCACGGGCACCCGGUCGCCACGACUCCUGCCCGCGCCCCCCACCCCACGGCUCCCCGUCGGGCGGGAGGACGGCGCUUCGCGCAAAGGGAGAAACGAGGCAGCCCACGCCCAGCGACGGUCUCGGUAGUGAGAAGGGAGACGGCCAGAGACUAAACGAUCCUCCCACCUGCAAGAAAAGUGGGUGUCCGCAAACCGGACGCAAACACCACAGGCCCGCCUGAAGUUAAACCCGGGGACGGCUCAGAGAAAACGAAGGCCGCGGAAGGAAGCGAGCCAGCGGACUCUUCCGUACGCUGACGUCCAGCCACGUAUCAAGUUACUACUCUUGCGGGAACAGAAGUCUCCCUACGGUGAAUAUUCUGUGCUAUCCGUCAUAGGACGCUGCAACCGUUGUACAGGGUUACGUCUUCUCUGCUUCAAUCCCUGGCUAGUUAUACAGACGGUAUGUUAUAGAAGAUAAAUACAGUCGGUUCAAGUCCUGCGAGUGCAAGUACAUCUCAAGGAUUACAGCUGGGCUGCGUAUCCCUUCCUUCCUGAGACCACUCACAGGUAUGUAAUUAUGGCGUCAAGUGAGAAUACACACGCAUGUAUGUACAGACAUGGCCACCCUAAUGAAACCUCCUGGUUUUCUUUAACGUAGCGAUAUUUACUAAAAAGACAACGUGUCAUGUUUACCCCCUGCGGUGAGCCACGUGAUUACUGAAAUAAGAUACCAAAUUUAAUGGUUUGCUAUCUACAGAUACCACUAAAUUCCACCUCUUUUUGAGUUGUAUUUACCAUAUUAUGCUUUAAAACAAACCUCAUAAACAUGGAGAACAGUUAUGUGAUAAUAUUCCCUAAGGCAAAAGAAUGGCAAAUGUGGCAAAGCAUAAACCACGCGGUCUGUGCUUUAGGAGAGACUGUUUCAUUACCGGCACCGAUUCCGUAAGAACUUCGGUUACAAGUUAAAUGCAUGUUCCAAGUUACCGGAGAACUCAGUGGCUUAGAACAGCAAGCAUUUAGUCGUGUGCAGUUUCCGUGGGUCAGGAAUCCAGGCAUCGUCACGUGAUCACGUGGUAGCAACGGCCGGGGUGUCUAGGCUCACUCGAGCCACUGCUGGCCUGUGGGUCCCGCCUCCCAGGAGCCACUCCACGGGGUCUAGGCUCACUUGAGCCACUGUUGGCCUGUGGGUCCCGCUCCCCAGCGGCCACUCCGUGGGGCUUCCUCUCAGCCUGGCAAGUGGCUCUCCCAGGGUGACGACUCCAGAGAGCAGACGCAAGACGGACCUGGGAGGCGAUUUCCCGUGCCUUCUGCCACAUUCUUUGGGCCAUCGAUACGCCCAGGCCUCACGAGGGAAGGGGCCCCACGUGGAGUGGGCACUUAGAGGCUGCCAAGCACAGGCACGAGGCUCGAGUGCACAGCCCGCGAUGUAAAAGCCAUCUCUUCUUCUGCCCAUCUGCCCAGGCGCAUUUUUCCAGAGCACAUUAACACAGCAUUUUCCAAAACUCUAAAAUCAUCCUCCAGUCUUUCAAACUCAAGGAAGAGAUGAACAGAACAUGUUAACCAUUAUCUUUAGAAAAUAACAAAGGGGGCAAAGUGGAGAGAGUAUAAUAUGGAAGACGUUCCUUCUGGAAAGCUCGUCCCGUGAAAAACAGUCUUUGCCAACUACGGUCAGAAGUAGAGCGAGCAACACCCACACAUCACCGGCGCUUCUAGCCUUUCUAAAAAGUGUUAAUUUAACUGUAUCAACAAAAAGAGAGGACACUCUGGUGUUUCGUACAAAUUGCACCUUGACCACUUCAUUAGAUGAGGGUCUCAGAAAGGGCUGAGGACACAAGAAUCCUCAAUGUGCACACGUUUUCUCUCUGGAUAAGGACCCUGUAAACUCUCAUUGAUAAAUGAAACAACAUACACAAAUAUUUGACAAAAUGACUAAAUAAUGGAGUGGGCACAAAGAUCCGAAUACUUUGUUUUCCCUCAUCAAAAGCAGGUCACAUGGUAAAAAUUUAAAGAUUCCGGCACAGCAGAACCAUGAUUGAUGGAAUAAAUAACCACAUUUAGUGAGAACACAUCAGGCACUGCGUAAUUUAACACAUCAUUACUUACUUUCGCAAGAAUCCCGAGGCCGCAACGAUCAUCAGUCCUCAUCUGACAAAUGGGAGGACCAAAGGCUCAGGAGGGUAACUCAUGCCCACUAGGCAGAGCAGUGGGUGAACGAGGGGAGUCUGGUCCUGCGGCCCACCUGCUUCUCCCGACGGCGAGCCGCCCCCUCUCCGAGACAGAAGAGGCACGGCUCCUCGAAGAGCUAACUGUGGCAGGGCAAAGUCUUGGAGGGAGUUAGCGCAGGAACGCACCUGGAUGACCGGAAGGAAGGAAAGACCAGCUGCUGGUACCAGGCCGUGACCGAUGGCAGGGAGCGUCAGAACAAGAGUGCACGGCGGUCAGUUCCCACCGCACCGUGCUGCCGCGGGGAAACGGAUUUCCGUCAAGGUCCCCGGACCGAAGGCUCGGGUCCUCCUUCCACCUAGAUUCAGUGGCAGCAGUGGGAUCGAAGGAGACUUCCAUCAGCUUUGAGAACAACAGGAAACUCAGGUAUGGCACCUGGGAACCCUUUUGAAUUCUCUAUCAUUCCUGUCUUCCCUGAGGGUCUGGGUCUGCUCUCUUGGCAUCAAGCUCUCGAUCUAAUCGGCUCUCUAGUCCGGGCAGGCCAGCUUGAGAUACCAGGCAGUUCCAUCUGGAACCGAAGCCACCAGUGCUUGAAACAGACCACAAUUCGCCAUCUGACUAGAACACCCCGGAUCCCAUACUGGGGACAGCCAGUGGCAGCUGUCGCUCCCCACUUGUUUGGAACCCGUCUGCAAUCCCCACUUUGGGGUCUGCUGGCUCUGCCCUUUCCCCAGGCCACGGCUCCACAGGAAUCGGAGGUACACGCCGGGCCUCCCCUAGGCCGGGCCGCAGUAACAUCCUGAGUAACUGUGGCGGUGCUGUGGGACGCACGUGUGUCUUACGUUGUGUACGUAAAGGCUAUCGCUAGUGAGUCUCAGAGGCUAAAAAGCCACAAGGAUUGGCAGACACGGGUGCAACACUGAAAUGCUGUUACGUUACUCCCCAUCCAGCCUAAAACUCAAUCAGGGUAAGUUGUACAUGGAACAGGUUCAACUGACAAUAGCUGUUCACCUCGUGAAAACGUCUCGUUACCUACAGUGACAAGGUAAGCUGCAAAACAUCACAUCAUUCCCUCCCCACGGUACAUCCCUUUUAGGUACUAGCUUGGCUUAGCUAAAAAUAACGGAACUGAACUAAUUAAUAAGAAGAAGAACGGAAUCCUUAAGUUCCAAGGAGUUGAGUGAGUCACUUUCCAGCACUAACGGCACCCCAGAAUUACCACGGCUGUCAUGAGGACCAUUCUCAUUAGACAAGAUCACUCACGUCGGAAGUGCCCUGGAGAGCAAGGGUUCCCAGAUUAGACACACUGAAAGGGACGCCUGAUUUUUUUACCGGUAUACUGAAAUGUUGAAAAGCCUUCAAAAGUCCCAAAUAGCUUCAUUAAAAAUCUCUUUGCAAAAGGCUAAUGAAUAUUUAAAAAUGCGAGAUCAUGAACACAAGUCCACUAAACUGUUAACUUUACAGCUCCAAGGCCAGAGGCCUAAGUGAUACCUGGGUCCUGCCUCAUCCCUCCUACGGUGGGGUCCAUCAUGGAAACAAUGGCCCAGGGGGUCCAGCAUCUCUACUGUAAUCAACCAGGGCCAUGGGAAAACAGACUGUCCUCAACCGGCCUGUGCAAGCAUUUCAACAUCUCUGCCCCUAAAGAAGAGCCCCCGGGGGCGCCUGGGUGGCGCAGUCGGUUGAGCGUCCGACUUCAGCCAGGUCAGAUCUCGCGGUCUGUGAGUUCGAGCCCCGCGUCAGGCUCUGGGCUGAUGGCUCGGAGCCUGGAGCCUGUUUCCGAUUCUGUGUCUCCCUCUCUCUCUGCCCCUCCCCCGUUCAUGCUCUGUCUCUCUCUGUCCCAAAAAUAAAUAAACGUUGAAAAGAAAAAAAAAGAAGAGCCCCCAUAUGGGCCGCUCCUCCAGCUGACAGCCUCCAAAGGACUCUCGGAUAAACUGCUACCAGUAAUCCCCUUAAAAGAGCAAAGGGGUAACUAAAUAUUAAAACGAAUGAAAGAACUGGCCAAACUCGGGUAGAUUCCGGAGCUAUCCUCUCCACCUCAAACCUCACUUGCAGCCUGCAGACAGGAUCCUGGAAAACACGAAGGGGCUGGCUAACAUUGAAACAUCACAUAAGGAAAAGUAGGAUGUGGGUUUCUGGUAAGAGAAGGUGUGGGAAACGGAGAUCUAUUUUUUAUUGAGGGACAAGAAAGUCCUUUUGUCCUAAAGGGAGGAGACUACAGAAUGGGGGGGAGAAAAAAAGCCCCAAAUCUGAACACAAAUUAAAAAGUGGUAGAUUUGUAGCUCAAGCUGGCUAAGUUUGAAAUGGACCUAAUGAUUAAAUUCAAAAAAGUAAAUGAAUUUUAUUAUCAAAACUACACUGGUACAAAAUUACACUUGGCUUUCUUCUGUCAACGGGACAAAGUUUUCUUAGAUUAUUGGUCUGCUCCUGACUAGGGACUCUGAAGGGUUUUCCUUAAAGCGAUCUUCCUAGAAAGCAGAGUCUGUGUUUUAUCAAAAUGAUCUCCUACACUCCAUGUUGUCACCAUCAUCUCUUUGACUUACGGAGACUCCUCAAUUAAAAGAGCCAAGGCUUAUUUUUUACAAUGACUUAACUUCCUGGAUUUGCCCCUAAAGUCCUUAACUGUCACUACAGUUAAAUACAUGACUAAGUAUUGUUUCUCCUGCGAUCCUAUCUGACCAAGUAUUUUAAAGCCGUCAGGUAGUUUUGACAAAUAAAUCAAAUUCUAAAUCAAGUCUUCUUGACCUUGAACUAGCUUUGGGAUUCUCCAAAGGGCCAAACAGCUCAAGACAUUUGCUCUCUCUCCUUAUGAAAAUGGAGAUGUUAAUCUAAUUAAGCUUAUGUUAAAUUACAUGGGACGCAUCCUCAAAUAAGAAUACUGAGCCCUUUUUCUGUUGUAUGUAUCUUAAAAUAUUCUAUAUUUUGGACAUGAUCUUAUUUUUUGUAAGUUUGUUUGUGUAUUUAGAGAGACUAAGUGAGCAGGGAGGGGCAGGGAGCAAGAGAAUCCCAAGCAGGCUCCGCACUGUCAGCACAGAGCCCAACACAGGGCUUGAACUCAUGAACUAUGAGAUCAUGACAUGAGCUGAGCUCAAAUUGGAGGCUUAACCAGCUGAGCCACCCGGGUGCCUCUAGACAUGAUCUUAAAAUACUGUAUUACAGAAAUAACUACAUUUCCUUAUCAAAUGAACUCUGGUCAGACCUUUAACAAUGGGCAUUGCAAGUUUCUGUCGUUUACAGAGAGUACUUGCACUUAGAUGCUUUCACAAAAGUGUUCCUGCAAACGUGCUUCAUCUUCAGAAAGAUUCACAGAAAGGACCUGGACAACAGGAUUCUGAAAACUUUAAGAUAACAAAGCUACUGGGUAAGAAUUUCCAAAACUAAUGGAAAAACUAGAUUCAAGAAAAGAUUAAUUACAUGGGACUGAACUUAUUAGCAGGAUGAUGAGAACUCUUUUUUUUUAACAAUAGCAUGUACCUUUGUAAACAAACAUGGAACAUUUACCUUUUCCCCCCUCUGAUCCAUCCAGAUUUUAGAAACUCUUGAGUAUUCUUUUCAUGGCAACGUAAUUAGUUAUCUGCUCCAGUUCAACGGUAAUCUGUUUUCCUCGUACAGGACACAGUUGGAAACACUGGCUAUGUUACCAAAGCUUUCACUGAAAUGGUAUUUGCAGGUAAAAUCUGAUGGGGAGUCCUUGGCAUGGCUUCCUGGCCUCAGGGAAAGGUUCCUUAUCAAAGUUUUCAGCAAAGGGGCGCCAGGGUGGCUCACAGCGUCGACUUGACGUCGGCCCAGGUCAUGAUCUCGCGGUUCGUGGGUUCAAACCCCCACAUCGGGCUCCAGGCUAACAGUGCAACGCCUACUGAGGAUUCUCUCCCCAGCCCCUCCCUUUUCUCUCUGCCCUUCCCCUGCUCACUCACGCUCUCUCACUCUCAAAAACAAAUAAAUAAUUUUCAGCAAAGCAGUCUUUAAAAAGAGCUAUGUGGUCAAUCUCUAUUCUUCUACUUACACAAAUAACAAGCCAAGUUGAAUGCAAAUAAAUCAGUUUUACUGUGAUUAUCUUUAGUAAAAAUGUAGGGGUGAUCAGAGAAAGAAAAAUUAUGUCUGUACCUUUGUAAAUACCAGAUUCUAGUCCUGUUAACUGUCUCCCAGGUUUUGUUAUAUACCUGUAAACUGGGCUGGAUCCUGAACUCUUCUAGUUUCCUCAAAUGUCUGGGGAUGACUUUCUGAACUAGUAUUUCCCGUGUUCUCCCAUCCUUCUAAUUUGGAAUGACGAGAAACAAAGACUGCCCUUGGAUCUCCUCGGAAGGCGCAAUACCAGGUGCUCCUCACUACUCAGACGGCAGCCGAGCUUUAGCGACUGGGACCUUGGGUACCCAUCUCACAGCUGAAGAGCGCUCCACCUGACAUCCGGUCCUGUGUAGAUGCUAGAGACCCCCAAAUAAAAUUGACUAGGAAGAGAAGUAGCCGACAUCAAAGUAGCCUGCUUUCUCCCAAGACGUCAGAUCAAGACAUCGUAAUUUCACUAAACGUGAAACUUUUUUCUUUUCUGUCUUUCCUUUACUCUGACACUGGCCUGUAAAGAUAAUGCUGUCAGUCAUAUUCCCCAGGCCAUUGCUGAAUGAAAUGACCAUUCGGACUGUUCUGGAUUUGUAAUCAGACACCGAUCUGUCCAUGAUGCUGCACUCCAUUAACAGUGCCACGGUACCGGGCAGGGUUUGUGCACCAACGUGAUUUCUCUUUGUCUGCGGUAGUUAUCAUUCUCCUCGGACCUGUGAAUACCUAGAAGGCUGGCGCUUAACUGGGCAAUGCCUCUUAGGAUUCUAAUUGCACCUGACCGCAAAUGAAUGGAGACACCUCACGUGUCAACUGUCCAGGAUUUACAUCAUCGAGUUUCAAAAGGACCUCCCGGCUCCUUUCAUAACCCUCUGGCAGGCCCCAACUUCCCUGGUUGGGAGUAAAUGUAAACAAGGCUAUCAUCAGGAACCUCUCCUUAACUCGUGAAAGUACUGCAGAAUCCACCGCUAAGACAGCUGCCCAACCAGAACCCAGAGACGCUCUGGCCAAAGUUGUUCUUGAAAACAGGACAGACCUUGACUUGCUUUUGGCUGGGCUGUGGCAGCCACCACCUGUUGUACCUGGAUUAACACUCUUGGGGAAGUUGAAACUCAGCUACGUCGGAUCACUGAGAGAGCCAUUUGGCUUAAGAAAAGUACUCCUUCAACGGGGUCUUUCUACGGCUUAUUCGAUUCUGACUGGUUUGGGUCAUAAGAACCCGUGUCUGGUAUCUUUGCCACAAGCAUCUGUGCCACCAACAUUUUUGCCACGUAACUAACUGGCCACAAAGCAAUUUGCCAUAAAAGAUAAAGUAACGUGAAAGAGGGACACUUGUGAAAAAGGACAUAAUGAAGCAUGAAAAAUAAGUAACAAAAGUAAAGAGAUUUUAUCAUGCAUACAAAACAUGACACUUAAAUGUGUGUGGAUUCAUGGCAAUACUGUGCAAACGUGAUACUAUUUUGUGGACUGUACGUAAGCACUUGGUUCUAAAGUCCUUUGUUCAGAGCAGUAUACAUAUAGAUUCUUUGCUUAUUGAUUUGUUACCUCGUUCUGUGCUGUACGUUUUCUCUUCUUGAUGAAAUUUCUCCCUUCGUUAAGAGAAUAUCCGUUUCCAAACGCGAAGAUGCGUAUUUGUCGCUGAGCUUUGUGUUGUCUUGCCAAAGCUUUCCAUGCUGUCGCGUGUUCCUGGCGUACUGCCCACGUGUCCGUGUACAGAGGUUCCAAAGUUCUGUGGGAAAUGUGGCUUCACCUCUGUGCCUUCCGGUCCCUCAGUCUUGCUCCUCCAAUCCAGGGUUUCAAAAUAAGAAACGAGCGCCUGCCGCAGGUCCGGCAGGUCAGGGUCACACGUCGGCUCCACAAAGCCACGCGUCACGUUGCCAACUGGAAGGAACGCUAACGCUGUGAUGCAUUUGAUUUUCUGUUAAAUUCCGCAUCUGUCUGCCAGCACAACUUCUAUCUGAUACCAGUGGUUUUGGGGUCAGGGUUUUUUGCCACAUGAAACAAACAGCCAGUUAGAGUGGUACCCAGGUAUUCUUCUAAAGGAAGAGACAAUACUUUUUCUUCAAAGUCAACCAUUAGGGACUCGGGACCUACUCUUGGACAUUAAGCGCUUUAGUGUACAAAAAAAGUCUGCUCCCCGGCGGUAAUUCGAACAGACAAGAGCUACUACUGUUACUGAUCGCUACGUGCGACAUACGCUUCAACGUUCCGCCACGUAACCCGUCCCUUAGAGUUCACCUAAUCAUCAAAGGCAGAUUCUGUGUAAAUACCUGAAUUCUGCCUACACCACGUUCUCCGCUACCAAACGGCAAAAAGUUUUCGACGUUUUCCAGAAACAUACUCCUCAGGAAUGACACAACCAUUUCUUUUCAGGAGCUAAGUGGAACUUGACUCUUCUUUUGCUGCAACUACAGAUACUGCUGCGUGAAUUGGUAAAGACGGCACUGGAGAACAAGCGAUUGUGUCUCAAUGAGGCAAAGAGGCAGUAAUUAAUGCUCUCAAAACCCAGCUGCAUCCUUUGUAUUGGCCAUAGCUCAGGAAGCUUUUGGUUUGGACGAGUGGGAGGGGAGGAGCACUGGGCAAGGACCCGCAGACGACAGGCUAUCACUCUGGUGCAGUGUGCAGUCUGGCUGUACGCUCCCACCUCACGCUACGGCGUCACCCGCCAUCUGGGGACCGCCACAUCGACUCAUCACCGUAUAGACCACUACGAGAUCUAAGGUUUAUAUGAAAUUAAACAUGGGAGCACCAAGUUGACAGAAAAGUGAAACUGUCAACCAGUUGGGUUUUUUUUUUUAAUGUUUUAUGGCAAAAGUGCCUUCCAAGCUAUUAAUUAGUUAAUGCCUUAAAUUUCGGUCCCAUCUCUCUCAGUUAAGCUCAGAGUCUAAUCAAAAGUGAGGAACUGUUUCAAAAAUGCAACAAUGGGCCCAAAAUGGGAGUCACUUGUGCCAAGCCCCACAUCAACCACCAAGACUUAAUACCUAACCUAACUGUAGCCUCGGCCUCCCCCAAACACGUCACCCCUAACCAAUCAAUUUGGGAUUGCCUGGUCAGCACCAGUGAGGCCAUCUGCCUGACAGACCACUUCUUCCCUCAAAGGAAGGUGACCUUGCCUAAAACAACCCACUCUUUGCCAGAAAUUUCCGUUUUCUGCCCCUUCUGCCUGUAAAGCCUUCCAUUUUAUACAGCUCCUUGGAGCUCUGUUCUGUUUGAUAAAAUGGAAUGCUGUCCAAUUCACGAAUCAUUAAAUAAAGCCAAUUAAUGUUCGAAUUUACUCAGUUGAAUUUUCUUCUUUAACAGAGUCUACACCCAAUGAACAUAUUCUUCAAGAAUGAAGGCAAAAACAUGAAGAUAAAACUCUGUCCGUUUCUCAUAGCAAUAUCAGACUGAAACAAAGCCAUUCAAAAACAAACAUACAAAAAUGAGAAAAAUCCUUAAUAAUGUGGAUCUAUAGCCCCAAACCUAUAGGUAGUAAAAGGAUUAAUGCAUUUUUAAAAAGCUCACAGGGCGGGGGGCACAUUCACUAAGCAAAGUUUGAAGACAAAUUAGUAAAUAGGGAAACUGGUAAAGCGGGGGUAAAUGGGCAAUUGGGGAAAAAAAAAAGGCACACAGAA